rnacentral:siRNA from 1 species
AGCCGUUUCCAGGGUGGGCAG